rnacentral:rRNA from 1 species
AGAGUUUGAUCCUGGCUCAGGAUGAACGCUGGCGGCGUGCCUAACACAUGCAAGUCGAACGUGAGGUGGUAGCAAUAUCACUGAAAGUGGCGAACGGGUGAGUAACACGUAGGUAACCUACCCUGGAGAGGGGGAUAACGGCUGGAAACGGUCGCUAAAACCGCAUGGUUCUGUAGAGAUGGGAAUUUUUGCAGAUAAAGCUCCGGUGCUCUGGGAGGGGCCUGCGUCCGAUUAGCUAGUUGGUGAGGUAAAGGCUCACCAAGGCGAUGAUCGGUGGCUGGUCUGAGAGGACGAUCAGCCACACGGGAACUGAGAGACGGUCCCGACUCCUACGGGGGGCAGCAGUGAGGAAUAUUGGGCAAUGGGCGGAAGCCUGACCCAGCAACGCCGCGUGGAGGAAGAAGGCCUUUGGGUUGUAAACUCCUUUUAAGGGGGAAGAGGAAGGACGGUACCCCAGGAAUAAGUCACGGCUAACUACGUGCCAGCAGCCGCGGUAAUACGUAGGUGACAAGCGUUAUCCGGAAUUACUGGGCGUAAAGCGCACGCAGGCGGCAUUACAAGUCUGACGUGAAAUCUCCUGGCUUAACUGGGAGAGGUCGUUGGAAACUGUAAGGCUUGAGGCGAUGAGAGGGGUGUAGAAUUCCCGGUGUAGUGGUGGAAUGCGUAGAUAUCGGGAGGAAUACCAGUGGCGAAAGCGGCACCCUGGCAUUAGCCUGACGCUCAUGUGCGAAAGCGUGGGGAGCGAACGGGAUUAGAUACCCCGGUAGUCC